AAAUACUUAAUGAGAAGCACAAAAGGUAUGUGGAGAUGGUGGUUAAUGUGACAAAGAUGUGUUUGACAGCAAAGAAGUAUGUGUUGAAAAUGAAGAAGGAGAAAGAAGAGGUGGAGAAGAAGCUUGAAGGUCAUGUAAGGUAAGAGGAAAGGGUGACGAUGAGAAGUUGAAGGAAACAUUGUUGGGACUAGGAUAAGAGAAAAGAAAAGCGAUAAGAUAGUUGUGUGUAUGGAUCAAACAACAUAUAUAGAGGUAAUUGUGAGUAUCUUGAAGAUAUUUUGUCCAAAAUGGUUAUGGCAAUAGGACAAAGACGACCACUACUAGCAAUACAACUAACUAGUUUUCU
rnacentral:lncRNA from 1 species